UCGGACUGGAUUUGUUGACAA
rnacentral:miRNA from 1 species